GUGCUUGCUUUGGCAGCAUAUGCUCUAAAAUUGGAAUGAUACAGAUAAGAUUAGCAUGUUCCCUACACAAAAAUAACACACACACACACACACACACACGUUCAU